UGGAGAAUUUUAUAGAUCUGAAAUGUGUAAAAUUAUUAUCACCAGUGUUAAGCUGCACCUACUGUUGAGAAAUGAUCAUUUUUUUGAGGGUUUAAAGAGUAAUUUGAUGGGAUUACUCUCAUUACUCAGAAGCCAGGUGAGAAAACCGAGCAAGAGAUGGCUUGAACAAUCACUGAACCAGCAAAUAAGGGACAAAUGUGGCUUACACAAUUUAGCAAAAAGGAAAGUGGUUUUGACGUGGUGUUUGAAAGCUGGGAACUUGUUUACAUCUGUUGAGUAGAAGCUGAAAAGGGAGAACCCGGAGCCACGAUUGUGCUGUCUGACUGAGAAGAUAUUCCUUUAACCUUUCUUCAGAUAAGCAUACUGUAGCAGCCCCUGGCCUGAGCAAAGCAGACCUGCGGACCGUGGCACACAGCACUCUGCGUGACCUGCACUGCUGAUGUUUCACCUAUCAUCUUUGUAAGCCAGUGGAGAGGAAAUGGUAAAUUAACCUUAAAAUGUGACUUUAAAACAGGAAGCAGGCAGGAGGUGAGAAACUCUUGGUCUCACAAAGGAGCAAGAUGUAAAUGCAAAGUCAGACUUCCCGCUAUCAAAUGUUAAUCUAGUUUACCUGCUUCCUGACUCCCUAAAUGUUAUCAUUCUUGUGGUUAUCUACAAAGCCCCACCCUAUGAUCCUCCUCUACUUUCUGCACCAACCUCCCUCUCCCAUGGCACAAGACCCUGUUCCAGGGCUUCAGGAAUGUCUUUGUCUCAAAUCCUUAUAACUGGCUCGGCCGGCUUCUUUAAUUGUGAGGUCAACUUCCCUGCAAAUGCGGUACCCGCCUGGCGAGAGAGAGCUGUCAUGAUCUCUGCAUCGACAGCCCACCCUGUAAGCAAGCCUGAAUAAAAGCUUAUGUUUCA